GAUGAACGCUGGCGGCGUGCCUAAUACAUGCAAGUCGAGCGAACAGACGAGGAGCUUGCUCCUCUGACGUUAGCGGCGGACGGGUGAGUAACACGUGGAUAACCUACCUAUAAGACUGGGAUAACUUCGGGAAACCGGAGCUAAUACCGGAUAAUAUAUUGAACCGCAUGGUUCAAUAGUGAAAGACGGUUUUGCUGUCACUUAUAGAUGGAUCCGCGCCGCAUUAGCUAGUUGGUAAGGUAACGGCUUACCAAGGCAACGAUGCGUAGCCGACCUGAGAGGGUGAUCGGCCACACUGGAACUGAGACACGGUCCAGACUCCUACGGGAGGCAGCAGUAGGGAAUCUUCCGCAAUGGGCGAAAGCCUGACGGAGCAACGCCGCGUGAGUGAUGAAGGUCUUCGGAUCGUAAAACUCUGUUAUUAGGGAAGAACAAAUGUGUAAGUAACUAUGCACGUCUUGACGGCACCUAAUCAGAAAGCCACGGCUAACUACGUG
rnacentral:rRNA from 1 species